UAUAGAUUAAUAUGACGCUUUCAAUCUUUUGAAUACUGAAUAAAUAAAAUAAAAAAUUAAAUAGCUAAUAGGAAAAAUAAACAGUAAAUUACGAAAUGAGGUGGUGUAUAGUUGUAAUAGUUGUUUUUAAAGUGUUCAAUAAAAUAAUAUUCAAAUAUAAUUUUAUAUUUUCGUCCAACGAGAGGAAUUUUCCAUUAUAUCAGUUACAAGCGGUGUUUUAACAAUGAAGCAAUGUUGCGUGCAAUGUGCGAUCGGUGAAAAUUUUUAAAAAAUCUUGAAUAUUUUUCUGCUGAAAGGAAUAACAUUACAUAAUGUCAUGAAUUCAAUUAACUUUUUGUUGUGUUUUCUGUUCAGCGAAUAAUAUAUUUAAUAAUAAAUUA